AGCGUAGGCGGUCUUUCAAGUCGGAUGUGAAAUCUCCUGGCUUAACUGGGAGGGGUCGUUCGAUACUGUUAGACUAGAGUGCAGCAGAGGAAAGUGGAAUUCCCGGUGUAGUGGUGAAAUGCGUAGAUAUCGGGAGGAAUACCAGUGGCGAAGGCGGCUUUCUGGGCUGCCACUGACGCUGAGGCUCGAAGGCGCGGGGAGCAAACAGGAUUAGAUACCCUGGUAGUCC
rnacentral:rRNA from 1 species